rnacentral:rRNA from 1 species
GACGAACGCUGGCGGCGUGCUUAACACAUGCAAGUCGAACGGAAAGGCCCUGCUUUUGUGGGGUUCUCGAGUGGCGAACGGGUGCGUAACACGUGAGUAUCCUGCCCUUGACUUUGGGAUAAUUUCAGGUAACUGGGGCUAAUCCCGGAUAGGAGCUCCCGCUGCAUGGUGGGGGUUGGAAAGUUUCGGCGGUUGGGGAUGGACGCGCGGCUUUUCAUCUUGUUGGUGGGUUAGUGGCUUACCAAGGCUUUGACGGAUAGCCGGCCUGAGAGGGUGACCGGGAACAUUGGGACUGAGGUAAGCCCCAGACUCCUAUGGGAGGCAGCAGGGGGGAAUAUUACACAAUGGGAGGAAGCCUGAGAGAGCGACGCCGCGGGCGGGAUGACGGACUUUGGGUAAUAAACCGCUGGCGCCUGUGACGAAGCGUGAGUGACGGUAAUGGGUGAAGAAGCACAGGCUAACUAAGUG